rnacentral:rRNA from 1 species
GAUGAACGCUGGCGGCGUGCCUAAUACAUGCAAGUCGAGCGAACAGACGAGGAGCUUGCUCCUCUGACGUUAGCGGCGGACGGGUGAGUAACACGUGGAUAACCUACCUAUAAGACUGGGAUAACUUCGGGAAACCGGAGCUAAUACCGGAUAAUAUAUUGAACCGCAUGGUUCAAUAGUGAAAGACGGUUUUGCUGUCACUUAUAGAUGGAUCCGCGCCGCAUUAGCUAGUUGGUAAGGUAACGGCUUACCAAGGCAACGAUGCGUAGCCGACCUGAGAGGGUGAUCGGGCACACUGGAACUGAGACACGGUCCAGACUCCUACGGGAGGCAGCAGUAGGGAAUCUUCCGGAAUGGGCGAAAGCCUGACGGAGCAACGCCGCGUGAGUGAUGAAGGUCUUCGGAUCGUAAAACUCUGUUAUUAGGGAAGAACAAAUGUGUAAGUAACUAUGCACGUCUUGACGGUACCUAAUCAGAAAGCCACGGCUAACUACGUG